UGCCUCCCCUUUACCACCUCUUCCCCGUCAACAUGGAGAGAAUGAACCGGGAAAAGAUGUUUCUGUUUCUGUGGAUCGUGUCCUGGUUUGGCUGUGGGAACUCGGUGACCGUCAGGCAGACUCCACCCGCACUCUCCGCCAUGCCCGGCAGCGGAAUGGAGUUACAGUGCACGGCGGAUGGAGGGGGUAAUACUGAUUACAUGUACUGGUACAGACAGUACCCGGGGAGUGGCCCUCAGCUCCUGAUCUACUCGAUAAACAACGCGCAUGCUGAACCGAAGGAAACAGCGGACGGGUUAACGGCCCAGAGGAAGGACAACCAGUUCAACCUGAUUUCUAAAAAUUUGACUGCGAAUCACUCGGCUCGUUAUUUCUGCGCCUGGAGGCUACACAGCCGCCCGAACAGAUGGUGA